UCUGGAAAUAAUAGACAGUGUAUACCCCUAGAUAUUUCAGACACUAUCCAUUCAAAAAAUGCACAUCUAUCUAUUUAUUUCUGAACCUACUAAGAAAUGAGAAAAAGGGUAAAACGACAUCCAAUAGCUACAGCAUUAUAGCGUACCGUCUAGUUCGGAAGAUGCUUUAUCCAAAAUGCGAUUUCGUGGUUUUAAAUUUAAAUUAUUAUUAGAAUUACGUCAUUCAAAUAUGACGUGUUGUUGCAUAAUACCGAAAUGCAUUGGGUGGCGCAUUUAGCAGGAGUUCGCGGAAAAAGCCUGGACGCACACGCACGUGUUUUUGAGAUUUUGUAUACCGUUGAAGUUUUCAACUAAAAUAAAACCUUUCGAACUGUAAUUAUCGUUCAAUAAUCGAAAUAAAUAAAACGAAUAAUGAAAAUCUAGAUGGUAAGUUGUCAAAGUUUUUUUUUAUUAUUCUUGGAUAUUAUAAAGAAAAAGUAAAAGCUGGAAAUAAAUCAAAAUCGAAAAUUUUUUUCCACUGGAUACUUUGUAGAUUGUAAAAAGAAAAACAGAAAUAUAUAUUCGAAUCCAUGGAAGAUGUCGAUGUAGCAGUUAGAAAUCUCGAGAUAAAAUCAUUAUCAUUUGUCUCUGUUUAUCAAAAAGAUAAAUCAUUCGGAGUUGCUGAUAUUAAUUUAAAAAAUCACAAGAUUCUCUUCGAAGAUAUCAAGAACAAGGAGUCACCCCAACAAAUCCUUGUUGCCCUGUAACCACAUCCUAUCCGUCAUUAGUGACAAUGUCGCAGAUGUAUCCUGGAAAUCUUUAUCGUCGCGAUACACUUUAUCUCCUUUUUUCAUCUUGGAUCAUGAAGUUAUUAGCAAGGAGGUUACUUUAGAAGAUAACCAAAUGUAGAACGAUUUUAUUGACAUUAAUGAUGUCGAAACCGA